UUAAGACCCUACUCAACUUUC
rnacentral:siRNA from 1 species